rnacentral:RNase_P_RNA from 1 species
GUAAGUAUCAUAUACGAUCGCGCUAGUUUAACAAUUAGUGAGGAAAGUCCGGACUCCGUGUCAGUCAUAAACAUAUUAUGAUAGGUGCCAACGAAAGUUGGGAGGGAGUGAUCUUUCGGAUAAAAGGGCAACAGAGAGAUAUACCACCCAACUAGCUUGUAUCAAAACCCGUAGGAGAAACUUGUUUCUUCCCGGAUUACAAGUUAGUAGGGAAAGGGUGAAAUGGUAGUGUAAGAGACUACCGGGUAUUGUAGUAAUACAGUACUGCGUGGCAACCCCCCCUGGAGCAAGGUUUGACCGCAUAGAUAGAUGAUCGUUUAAUACAGAAUCCGGCUUAUUUGAUGCUUACGUAU